rnacentral:rRNA from 1 species
UACGAAGGGGGCUAGCGUUGCUCGGAAUCACUGGGCGUAAAGGGUGCGUAGGCGGGUCUUUUAAGUUAGAGGUGAAAGCCUGGAGCUCAACUCCAGAAUUGCCUUUAAGACUGCAUCGCUUGAAUCCAGGAGAGGUGAGUGGAAUUCCGAGUGUAGAGGUGAAAUUCGUAGAUAUUCGGAAGAACACCAGUGGCGAAAGCGGCUUCCUGGACCAGCACCGACGUCAGGCACGAAAGCGUGGGGAGCAAACAGG